rnacentral:rRNA from 1 species
UACGGAAGGUCCAGGCGUUAUCCGGAUUUAUUGGGUUUAAAGGGAGCGUAGGCCGUCUGUUAAGCGUGUUGUGAAAUGUAGAUGCUCAACAUCUGAAUUGCAGCGCGAACUGGCAGACUUGAGUGUGCGCAACGUAGGCGGAAUUCGUGGUGUAGCGGUGAAAUGCUUAGAUAUCACGAAGAACUCCAAUUGCGAAGGCAGCUUACGGGAGCACAACUGACGCUGAAGCUCGAAAGUGCGGGUAUCGAACAGGAUUAGAUACCCUGGUAGUCCGCACGGUAAACGAUGGAUGCCCGCUGUUGACCCACCUGGGCCAGCGGCCAAGCGAAAGCAUUAAGCAUCCCACCUGGGGAGUACGCCGGCAACGGUGAA